AUUGAACGCUGGCGGCAGGCCUAACACAUGCAAGUCGAGCGGUUGACGGGAGCUUGCUCCCUGAUUCAGCGGCGGACGGGUGAGUAAUGCCUAGGAAUCUGCCUAUUAGUGGGGGACAACGUUUCGAAAGGAACGCUAAUACCGCAUACGUCCUACGGGAGAAAGCAGGGGACCUUCGGGCCUUGCGCUAAUAGAUGAGCCUAGGUCGGAUUAGCUUGUUGGUGAGGUAAUGGCUCACCAAGGCGACGAUCCGUAACUGGUCUGAGAGGAUGAUCAGUCACACUGGAACUGCGACACGGUCCAGACUCCUACGGGAGGCAGCAGUGGGGAAUAUUGGACAAUGGGCGAAAGCCUGAUCCAGCCAUGCCGCGUGUGUGAAGAAGGUCUUCGGAUUGUAAAGCACUUUAAGUUGGGAGGAAGGGUUGUAGAUUAAUACUCUGCAAUUUUGACGUUACCGACAGAAUAAGCACCGGCUAACUCUGUGCCAGCCGCCGCCUAACAC
rnacentral:rRNA from 1 species